UGAGGUGUGGAUAGGGGAGAAAUUCCAAUCGAACCCGGAGAUAGCUGGUUCUCCUCGAAAUAGCUUUAGGGCUAGCCCCGUAUUAGUUUAGCGGAGGUAGAGCACUGAAUUCCUAAGGGGGCGUCAAAGCUUACCAAGGGAUAUCAAACUCCGAAUGCCGCAUAAAUGAUGUACGGGAGUCAGACUGCACGAGAUAAGUUGGGCAGUCAAAAGGGAAAGAGCCCAGACCUACAGCUAAGGUCCCAAAGUGUGUGUUAAGUGGAAAAGGAUGUGGGAUUUCAGAGACAACUAGGAUGUUGGCUUAGAAGCAGCCACACAUUCAAAGAGUGCGUAAUAGCUCACUAGUCGAGAGGUCCUGCGCCGAAAAUGUCCGGGGCUAAAACACAACACCGAAGCUUAGGAAUGUAGAAAUACAUUGGUAGAGGAGCAUUCUUAAAGGAAUGAAGCAGUACCGGUAAGGAGCUGUGGACUUUUAAGAAGAGAGAAUGCCGGAAUGAGUAGCGAGAUGGAGGUGGGAAUCCUCCAGGCCGAAUAUCCAAGGUUUCCAGAGUAAAGCUGAUCUGCUCUGGGUAAGUCGGGGCCUAAGGUAAGGCUGAGAAGCGUAGCCGAUGGACAACAGGUUGAGAUUCCUGUACCGCGUAUCAUCAGAACUGUGGGGACACAGAAGGACAGCACAUCCCGGGAAUGGAAAGACCGGGGCAAGCAGGGUAGGAGUUAAGCUGGCAAAUCCGCUUAACAAUCCGAAGCUGUGAUGCGGAGCGAAUUUAAGUAGCGAAGUGUGCGAUUCCGGCUGUCAAGAAAAGCCGCUAUUGUGUGAUACGUGCCCGUACCGUAAACCGACACAGGUAGAUGAGGAGAGAAUCCUAAGGCCGGCGGGAGAAGCAUUGUUAAGGAACUCGGCAAAAUGACCCUGUAACUUCGGGAGAAAGGGUGCCUGGGAAACCAGGCCGCAGAGAAUAGGCUCAAGCAACUGUUUAGCAAAAACACAGGUCUAUGCAAAACCGUAAGGUGAGGUAUAUGGGCUGACGCCUGCCCGGUGCUGGAAGGUUAAGAGGAGGGGUUAGCGCAAGCGAAGCUCUGAAUUGAAGCCCCAGUAAACGGCGGCCGUAACUAUAACGGUCCUAAGGUAGCGAAAUUCCUUGUCGGGUAAGUUCCGACCCGCACGAAAGGCGUAAUGAUUUGAGCGCUGUCUCGACAAUGCACCCGGUGAAAUUGAAAUACCAGUGAAGAUGCUGGUUACCUGCGCCAGGACGGAAAGACCCCAUGGAGCUUUACUCCAGCUUGAUACUGGGAUUCGGUACUGCAUGUACAGGAUAGGUGGGAGACUGAGAACUAUGAACGCCAGUUUGUAGGGAGUCGCUGUUGGGAUACCACCCUUGCGGUAUUGGAUUUCUAACCUGCAGCCGUGAACCGGCUGGGGGACAAUGUCAGGCGGGGAGUUUGACUGGGGCGGUCGCCUCCGAAAGGGUAUCGGAGGCGCUCAAAGGUUCCCUCAGAAUGGUUGGAAACCAUUCGAAGAGUGCAAAGGCAGAAGGGAGCUUGACUGCGACACCGACGGGUGGAGCAGGUACGAAAGUAGGACUUAGUGAUCCGGUGGUAUAAAGUGGGAUUGCCAUCGCUCAACGGAUAAAAGCUACCCUGGGGAUAACAGGCUUAUCACUCCCAAGAGUUCACAUCGACGGAGUGGUUUGGCACCUCGAUGUCGGCUCAUCGCAUCCUGGGGCUGUAGUAGGUCCCAAGGGUUGGGCUGUUCGCCCAUUAAAGCGGUACGCGAGCUGGGUUCAGAACGUCGUGAGACAGUUCGGUCCCUAUCCGGCGCGGGCGUAAGAUAUUUGAGAGGAGCUGUCCUUAGUACGAGAGGACCGGGAUGGACGGGCCGCUGGUGUACCUGUUGGAGUGCCAACUCCAUGGCAGGGUAGCCAAGCCCGGACGGGAUAAACGCUGAAGGCAUCUAAGCGUGAAGCCCCCCUCAAGAUGAGAUAUCUCAUACGCAAGUAGUAAGACCCCUUGAAGACGACGAGGUAGAUAGGUCAGAGGUGGAAGUGCGGUAACGCAUGGAGCUGACUGAUACUAAUCGGUCGAGGGCUUGACCAA
rnacentral:rRNA from 1 species